GAUGAACGCUGGCGGCGUGCCUAAUACAUGCAAGUCGAGCGAACGGACGAGAAGCUUGCUUCUCUGAUGUUAGCGGCGGACGGGUGAGUAACACGUGGAUAACCUACCUAUAAGACUGGGAUAACUUCGGGAAACCGGAGCUAAUACCGGAUAAUAUUUUGAACCGCAUGGUUCAAAAGUGAAAGACGGUCUUGCUGGCACUUAUAGAUGGAUCCGCGCUGCAUUAGCUAGUUGGUAAGGUAACGGCUUACCAAGGCAACGAUGCAUAGCCGACCUGAGAGGGUGAUCGGCCACACUGGAACUGAGACACGGUCCAGACUCCUACGGGAGGCAGCAGUAGGGAAUCUUCCGCAAUGGGCGAAAGCAUGACGGAGCAACGCCGCGUGAGUGAUGAAGGUCUUCGGAUCGUAAAACUCUGUUAUUAGGGAAGAACAUAUGUGUAAGUAACUGUGCACAUCUUGACGGUACCUAAUCAGAAAGCCACGGCUAACUACGUG
rnacentral:rRNA from 1 species